rnacentral:rRNA from 1 species
UUGAAAGGGAAACGAUUUGAAGUCAGUCAUACCAACGGGAAAUCAACCUUUUGAGCUUGGUCUCGUGGGUUUUUGAAGAGUUUCAAAGCCUUCGGAUUCGCGGGAUUGGGAUCUCUUGGUGUACUUUUUCGUACGGUUAGUCAACAUCGGUUUUUGAAUGUCAUAAAAUGACUGGAGGAAUGUAGCUUCGAUCUCGUAUUGAAGUGUUAUAGCCUUUGGUAGAUGUGAUGUUUGAGACCGAGGAUUGCAACGGAUACCCUUCAGGGGCUAUUCGGUCUGGAUCUCUGAUACGUUGCCUUGAUGUUGAAAGCUUGCUUAUGAUGUUAGGGUAUUACGGUCAAAAGGUUAGAACGAAUUACAUUCGUUAAGGAUGUUGACGUAAGUC